rnacentral:lncRNA from 1 species
GAAAUACCUAAUGUAAAUGAUGAGUUGACGGGUGCAGCAAACCAACAUGGCACACGUUUACCUAUGUAACAAACCUGCACAUUGUGCACAUGUACCUUAGAACUUAAAGUAUAAUUAAAAAAAUAAUAAUAAGCCAUGUCCUUUUGCAUCCUAAAGUGCUCAUCCUCCUAUGUCCCUUAUCUCAACAUUAAAUAGAACUGCCAAUGGAGCCCUGCAGUGAAGAACUCCAGGGGCCACCAUUCAUCUUGCAAUAGGCAAAUGAGGACAAUUUACAUGAAAUACAAUUUUAAAAGUGCCUCCCUUGACUUAGACAGCAUGACAAUCUACCUAAUUACCUGAGUCAAAACCUCAUGCGUUAUCCUUGAUAUCUUUCCUUCAUAUCUAAUUGCUGUCAACUCCAGUUCCCGAAUCCCUCACAAAUCCAUUCUCCUCUCAAUGUCUAAUGCAACUCCCCUGAUUUAGAUGUCAUCAUCGUCCUGGUUCUUUUAAUUUAAAAUCCAAACCUCUUCAUACUAUUUUCAGAAUCUUCAGAUACUGUUCCCACUUGCCACUCUGGCUUCCACUCUAGCUACUUUCCCUUAAUCUUCUACAAUCCAGUCAUACUGAAAGUUUCUCAGUUGCUCUAAGCUUUCUCUUACCUUUGUGAUUUUAGUCAUGCUUUUUCCUCAACUCAAAUAUUUGUGUGUGUGUGUGUGUGUGUGUGUGUGUGUGUGUGUGUUUCUUCUCUUUACCAAGAAGCCUUAACUUGGGCAUCCAUAGUAUUCUAGGCAACUAUUUGAGUAUAACCGGUUUACUUACGAGGUGAUCCCAGGAGAAAUGUUAGGAAAAUGAGUGAGAUAGAAGGAAAGGGAGACAAUACAGAGUAUAUUAAUGAGCAUGUUACCACUAUGGGCAAUGGAUACUCGAUUCUCCUAGGAACAUUUGGGAUAUAAUACAGAACACACCCCAGAAUAACCGCAUACAAGAAGCAAGGAAGCUGGGCUACCCAUCUUCUUUCCCCUGUUGUCCUUGAUUGACAGCAUUUCCUACAGAGUCAGUUAUUCAGCCCGAUCAUUGGACAGGUUUCACAGCUAGAGAAAUCCCUCAGUCAGAGUAUGGCAGGGCUGAAAGUGGGACAUCAACAUAUGCUAAGAACAUAUAUGGGAAGCCAAACCUGAUAGCUGAAAACUCUUUUAAUAUUCCUCUUCUGGGACCCUUUUGAAUUAUUAUGUCAUUUAUCAAGUUUUAGUGGGAGAAAUUACAAUUAAACAACAAAUUGCAAUAAACCAUAUGUCCAGUUCAACAUUGUUUCCCUAAAACUUGGCCCAUAGUUGGUACUCCCUAUACCUUUUGACUAAACUCUUUUUUUUUGUUUUACAGUAUAUUUUACAUUUGGUAGCAAUAAUUACAUCCCUUUCAAAGUUUUUCCAGGUGUUUCAGACUUUUAUUCACUGCUCUCUGCCUCAUUUAGGCAGAAAAAUUGGUAUUUGGAAAAGAUUUUAAAGGAAAGUAUAAGUCACUGUUUGAGAUAUCAAAUAGUAAUUGUUAAAAUAUGGUUUUCUUACAUGAAGUACCCUGUGCUCUUAAUCAUUAACCCUCUAUCCUGAAAUACUGUUUCAAAUACUUUCUUUGAAUGUUCACAUUUGAGAAAUUCCAAAAGACAAACAUUUAUCCUAUAAAAUAAAUGAAAAUGUCAUUUAUAAUAUGUUCCAAGUGCUUGGCACCUAUGCUGAUUGGAUCUAAUCAUAUUGUCUGAUGAGAUUUCCUCUCCAGAGAUAACUAAUUGGAAUGACAUAGUGUAACAGUGAGCUCUGGGUGAAAUAAUCAGACAUUUCGAGCUGAAUGAAUGGCUUUUGUGUCAGAUGUUGCAGAGCUAAAACAUUAUGUGUUGCUUCCUGACUUAUGAACCCCAGAGUUUAAUUCUUCUCUUUUUCUUCACAGAUUCCAUUUUUUGGCAAGAAAAGUCAUCACUUACUUCUGCUGCCCCAAACGUUUCAUUGUUCCUCAUUGCCUCAAGGAAAAAGUCAAUCAUCGCUAUCCUGAAGAGCACUGGUGCCCUAGUUUUUGUUGUUGCCAUUUCUCAUCUUCAAUAUUCUGCUGGUGAUAUGUAAAUAGUAUUUGUCAGGGUCCAGUUUAUUUUAGAAUGCCAAUCGCUGUACUUGGUAUUUCACAUAAAAUAUUGUAUUUAACCCUGAGGGCAAGGGAGAUAAUUAUUUACGUUGACAACAGAGUUAGAUUGAAUAAGGUAUGGAAAUCCUGUAGAGAUACACCUAUGAUGUGAUUCCAAGUCGAACUCAAAUCCAGACGCUUUACCCUUUACGCCCUCCUACUCCUCCAAGAUUCCUCUGAAGGACAACUUCAUUUCAGGCAUUAACAAAAAGCAUCUCACUGUAAUAUUGCAGAGUCCCUACAAUAAGCAUUUUACAGAUGAGAAAACUAAGGCACUACAACAUUAAGAACUUCGCAUAAAGGGACACAGACACUAAGUGGCGGAGUCCUGAUUCAAACCAUAUGUAUCUGAAUUCACGUUCUAUUCUUUUUCCACUCUACUAUAUAGCCUCUUUAUCUGGAAAACUACCCCCUUCAUUCUUCCCCAGUCAAAACUCUACCUAUUCUCCAAGUUACAGCUCCAAUACAACUUCUCUGAUCUUCCUCUGCACUUCAAUAGAACUUACCACACUUGGCUAAUGAGUAUUGCCUUGUACUGUGAUGACAUAAAAUAAAAAUAAAAAUGUGAUGCUGGGUGUAGUGGCUCACACCUGUAAUCCUAGCACUUUGGGAGGCCAAGGCAGGCGGAUGACCUGAGCUCAGGAGCUUGAGAAGCCUGGGCAACAUGGCAAAAUCCCAUCUCUACUAAAAGUCCAAAAAAUUAGCUGGGUAUGGUGGUGCACACCUGUAAUCACAGAUACUUGGGAGGCUGAGUCACGAGAAUUGCUUGAACCCAGGAGGUGGAGGUUACAGUGAGCUGAGAUCACACCACCACAGCACUCUAGCUUGGGCAACAGAGUGAGACUCUGUCUCAAAAAACAAGUAAACAAACAAACAAACAAAAGAUAUGAACAAUAAACUAUUAGAGAAUAUUGAAUAUUUGUACAUACACUACCUCAUUUGAUCCUAAAAUUUAUCCUUAUUAUUCCAGUUUUACAGAAGGGAUUGAAAUGACUUUCUCAGAAAUUACUCAUGCCGUCUGCUAUGUUGUCAAGUUUUGACUUGAACCUGUCUAAAAACAUAUAUAUUUUGCUUUGGCAAAAAUCUAGACUUAGAUAAUAAAAUACUAAGCUUAACUUGAAAUCUUCCAAUGGCAAGCUUCGAUAUAUCAGGCUUUAACAUACAUUUUCUUGUUGAAUCCUUCAUAUAGUUGUAGGAAGUAGUUCAUUUGCUUAUAACCUCACAGCUUUUUCUAUACUGUUGUUGAUUCCUUCAACAAAAAUGUAUUAAAUACCUGUUAUAUACUCAAUAUGGUACCAAAAAGGGUAAAUCUGCUUUAGAAUGUUUUAAUAAUUUCCCAUUUUUCUUAUGUUUAGAACCAAAAUUUCUAAUAUGAUGGGUUCCUUCCUACCUCUCCAGCCUAAACUUAUGCAGCAUUAGAAAUUGUCCCAAGCAUCCUAGCCACGAUGACCUUCUUGCAAUUCUCAGAAUUAUUAAAUUCUAUAUUGCAGAUGUAGGGGAAGAAUAACUUCCCAUCUGCCCUCUGAGGGAUCAAUAAUUAAGUCGAUGAAAUAAACUGACAACAGGCAGAGUAACAUGAGAAAAGGUAUACAAAUUUAUUAUAUGCAAGGAAACAUCACAUGAAAAAAAUCAAAUACUCAAAAACCCAGUGAGAUCUAGAAGCUUAGGUGCAAAUCUUCCUAGCGGAGUGUGAGGGGGAGAAGUAGGCAACUUAGAACAGAGUAAAUUAUUUUGUCAAGAUGAAUAGGCCCUCAGAAAAACACGUGAAAGCCUGUGACAAAGUCUGUCUGGGCAUAGUGUGGACCUCUAGCUUCCUCUCCUGUGAUACAAGCUGAUCUUCCCUGGUUGAUGAGAUUCCUGGGAAGAGAAUUUACACAGUUGAGUUCCUUUUGAAGGACCUAUCUUUAGGCAGACAGAAGAAGUUCAGAGAAAGCCUCUUCCUGCAUUUACCAUUCCCCAAGUAUGCUUAGUUUGAAGUAAUUUGCAUACCAAAACAAUAUAUCUUGGGUAGCAUUCCUGAACUCUUUCAUAGCAUACACUCCAUAGUGCUUUUUAAGUGCUGGGUGCUAUUCAUAAUAGUUUACAAAUAUUUACUAUUUUAAUUAUAACAACCACCUUUAGGGUGGGUACCAUUAAAGCCAAUUUAUAGAGGAGGAAACUGUGGCACAGAAAUUAAAUAGUUUGUAUAACGUCACACAGCUUAAAUAUUAUGCAUCAAGCUCUCUGGUCAAGCAUGCCCUGACCUCCUUUGAACUUGAUCUAUUCCCUGCCAGUAACAUACCUUUUUCUUCAGACUGCAGAUGAAGUUACUCUUCUCUGAAAAGGUUCUUCCAGUUUAUUAUUUUUUUUUUGUACAUACUCAUAUAAUUACAUUUGUUUUCACCUUUGCCCGGGAAAUGUGCAAUUCGUGGAGGGUAUGUGUUCACCUCCAUAUCCCUAGCAUGGUAUUUGCCACAUAGUAGGCACCCAACUAUGUGCUGAAUUAAUAAAUUUGGAUUGAUUAAAUAAGUGUAUCAGGUACCACAGUGCAUACUAUCAGGUAUAAUCCUUGUCCUCCAGGAGCUCUAAGCCUAAUGUCAAAUACAGACAAGGGAACACAUGAUUAUAACCUGACAUAAUAGCUGUAAUGAUUAAACACAAGUGACUGCAGAGCACAGAGGAAGGCAAUUCAUUCUGUCUGAUGAUCUGAAAGGCUUUCCAGAUUCUAUGACAUAUAGGGAAUGAGCAGAAUUUCUAAGGGAGAAAAGAGUUGGAUGGGGUGGUUUCCUGGGUAGAAGGAACCCCUUGUAAGGUACAGACAUAAAAGCAGAGGGUGAGAUAUGACAUAGAGAUAAAUUGUUUAUGGGUGAAUUGGAGAUGGCAUUGAGAGAAGUGGUGAAGAAUGAAGCUUAUUUUGAAGUUUAAGGUCAGUAUUAUGAAAGAUGACAUAGCCUGUGCUAAGAGUUAGAAUCUGGUUGUAUAGAGAGAAGGAAACGAUAAGUAGUAUAAUAAUUUUAAAAGUAUUUUCAAUGUGCUUUAGAAAGAUCAAUCAAACCACUAAAUGGACAAUUAUUCCUCUAUCUUUGAAUUUGGUUUUUGUAGUAUUAAUGCAAAUUUCAAAGGGUACUCCAAAUAGCCCAAUUUAAUAUGAGUCUUAGGACAUCAGGGCUAAAGAAGAUUGAGAAAUGAUUGAAAUGUUUCCUGGUAUCACAGUAAUUUGCAACAAAUCUCUGUAAUUUGCAUUACGAUACAUGCCAAGCUGCAGUAUGAGACAGCCACAGGUCAUCCCCAAGCCCUGAGUAUGCUGUAUCUGUUGCAUUUAUAUCUUCAUUUCAUGAAGUCUUUCAAAUGAUAUACCUAAGACCAAUUGAAUUCCUAAUCAUAAGAAUUCCUGUCUUUACUGAGUUGAUCACCUCAAUAUGUUUGUGAAGUCAGCUUUUUUUGUUGUUUUCAAUAAAACAAGAUUAGGCACAAACCAUUUUAAAAAUAAUAGAGGAUGCAAAUAGUUCAUGGACAAUGUUAAUGUUCAUUAACAAUAGAAUAUAAACCAAACUAAGUAGAUGUUGUGCAACAGUCUCCAGCUUUGUCCUACUACUGGCCAAGACAGCUUUAACAUUUCCCUCAGCUUGACUAAAUUUAAGUAAGCUUCUUUCUGACUUCAGUCCCUGCCCUCUCUUUGCUUAAAACAUUAACUUUAGAAACUUGCGAUUGUAAAUUCCUCCUCUGCCCAUUAGAGAUAUAAAUUUUCUACAACCUAGAAAUAUCUUUCUCAUCAAAUCAUCAAGAAAGAGUGGGCUCCUUUCUCCCAGUUUCUGAGGGACCGUAAUAGCCUAAUUUAGAUAAGUGACAAUCGGCUAACGCAAAUAGCCUAAUCAUUUUAACCAACCUCCCCCAUCCCAAUGUCCUCUUGUAGUUUUCCGUUAGCUCACGACAGCAUUUAAAUAUCUUCAGCAGAACUGUUCAAUCUCUCUCUUCUAUUGCAAUGGCUAUGAUAUAAAUACUAUGUCUUUAAAAGUAAUAUAACUUAGUUUUUCCCUACAGUUAAUUAUCAACAAAAUCACACAUCAGAAAAGCUUGCUUUAAAAACUUGCAGGUAGAUGCAACGUCUAAUACUAAAUAAUGAAAAAAGCAAGAUUCUUAAAACUCUGCAACCUACCUGGGUCAGUCGGUAGCAGCAGCAGCCUUUAUACUUAUUCAUUUUCAAACAUUUGUUGAAUCCCUUACUGUGUGUUAGUAUUGUUUUUAACAUUUGGGAUAUAUCAGUUAAUUAAACAGAUAAAGAUCCUUGCCCUCAAGGAUCUUACAUUUUAGAAGAGAAGAGCAGACGGAACAGAAAUGUGACAUAAAAAUAAAUUAUAGAUUAUGUUUUACAGUGAAAAGUUCUAUGAAAGAAAAAGGAAAUUAAAGCCAGGUUAAGGGAUGUUUUAAUGAAUUUUACUUGGAGUAAAAUAGGAAAGCUUUACAGGAUUUUUAAUAUGGAUGUGACAUGAUUUUACCCAAAGUUUUAAACAAAAUAGAUAAUUCUGGAUGCUGGGUAGAAAAUAAGCCAUAGGUGGAAAAGGUUAAAAGUAGGAGAUCAGAUGAAAGUUACUGCAGUUUAUCCAGGAAAGACUUUAGCACAAAUGUUAAUAAUAGGUCAGGCGGUAUGUAGUAAUAUGUUCUAGAUAUAUUAACAAUCAAGACAACAAAGUUUCCUAAAAGAGAGGAUGUGAGCUGUGGGAGAAAGGGAGAAAGAAUAAUUAAAAGCUUUUUCGCUUGAAGCAAGUAAUAUGCAGUUGCUAUCAAUUGAGAUGGAGAGGGUUGCAUUUGGAAUAGCAUUUGAGAAAAAGACUAAGAGUUAAGUUUGGGACGUGCAGAUUUUUACGAUUUGAAUGUAUUUCAAGAGUAGCUAUUGAUUUGGAAGUUGAAUAUAUGAUCUUGGAGUUAGGAAGAACUGGGUAGGAGAGAUAAAUUUGAGAGUCACUGACAUAUAAAUGCUAUUUUAAAACCACGAGGUAACACCAAGGGAGUGAGAGAAGAAAAGAUGAAGAAUGACUGAGGAAUGGUCCUUGGUCAUUCCAAGUUUCAGGAAUGAGGAGGAAGAGGGGAGAGGAAAGAGGAAAGUUAGGAGAAACACUAGGAAAGUGUGACAAUCUGCAAGUCAAAUGAAGAAAAUAUAUCAAAAAAGGUACAGUGAGCCUUUGGCUCAGAUAUUGCUGAUAGGUGAGUGGAAUGAUAAUUAAUAAUUGAUCAUUGGAUUUGGCAGUGCAGAGAUCAUUGAUGGCUGUUACCACAUUCGUCUUGGUGGAGUUGGAUAAAUACCUGGUUGGAGUAGAUUUAGGAGAGAAUGGGAAAAAGGAUUUAAAGGAUUACUGCUGCAAUUCCAGGCAUUAUAACCAUUGAGACAUAAACAAAAAGGAAGAGAGAAAUGGUUGCCACCAUCAAUAGCUGUCUUAUUAAUUAAGAAAACAAAAGCUUUACCAAGAACCUCCUUCCUCAUAAACAUCUAUUCACAUUUCAUGAACCAGAAAUGGGUUGUGUAUCUACUAUAGCAGGGAGGGUGGCUGACAAAACAUGGCCAAGGAAGGAUUGGGAAUGGGUGUCGAGCUUAUCAACCAGAAUACCUGCUUCAGCAGUCAUUUUAAUAUUCUAGAUAUGAAAUUUUUACAUGAUCUUCUGCUGAGCCAAGGCCUCCCAUCUUCUCUAUAUAUAGCUUGAUGAUGAAAUUUAAAUUGUAAGGCUUUGAAUUCUUUCAUUAAAAAAAAAGUAUUGGAUUCUGGCCAGAAUUCUCAUUUAAUGAUAAGUUUGAGCCUUGAUUGAUUUUUCUCCUAUAGUGAGAUCCUUUCUAUCUUUCUAUUAAUAUCACAUGCAAAAAUAAUAAGUGCUUUUGUAUGUCUAUCAACAUCUUAAAACUCUGGUAGGAUCAUAGUCAUGUGCUAGUAAAAAGGAAACUGGAAUAGCAGACAAGGAUUGAGUAAGGAAUAUUGGAGUACAAUAGUAGCACAGUUGCAGAGAAAUCAAAAUAAAGAAAAUAAUGUAAUAUAUACAAUGUUAUCUCUUUUUUUAUUAUUUUUCCUCCAUCUACUUCAAAUUAGAUUGAAAAAAAAUUACAAAAAAACACAUUCAUACUUCAUAUGAAAGGUGAACAUAAAUGUGUUUUCACCUUUUGGUCGCUAUAUAGAUGUUGUUCUAUGUGUUAGGACUGUGGUGCAAAAACUAAGAUGGUAAUAAUUGUAACUAUAAGCUGAAACUUUUUUUUUUUUUUUUGAGAUGAAAUCUCACUCUUUCCCCCAGGCUGGGGUGCAGUGGUGCGAUCUCAGCUCACUACAACCUCGGCCUCCAAGGUUCAAGCAAUUCUCCUGCCUCAGCCUCCCAAGUAGCUGGGAUUACAGGCACCUACCACCAGGCCUGGCUAAUUUUUGUAUUUUUAGUAGAGAUGGGGUUUCACCAUAUUGGCCAGGCUGGUCUUGAAUUUCCGACCUCAGGUGAUCAGCCUGCCUCAGACUCCCAAAAUGCUUGGAUUACAGACAUGAGCCACUGCGCCCAGCCAAGUUGAAACUUUUUAAUGCUUAUUUUCAACCAGGUUCAUAGUUCUAAGUGCCUUAAAAAUAUUGGCCAUGCGCAAUGGCUCAUGCCUGUAAUCCUAGCACUUUGGGAGGCUGAGUGGGGUGGAUCACUUGAGGUCAGGAUGUCAAGGCCAGCCUGGCCAACACGGUGAAACCUUGUCUCUACAAAAAAUACAAAAAUUAGCCAGGUGGCAUGGUGCAUGUCUGUAAUCCCAGCUACUUGGGAGACUGAGGCAGGAGAAUCACUUGAACCUGAGAGGUGGAGAUUGAGUGAGCUGAGAUCGCACCACUGCACUCCAGCCUGGGUGACAGAGCGUGACUGUCUCAAAAAAAAAAAAAGUAUAAAGUAUUAACUAAGAGGUUUCAGACAAGUUGGUCAACUAGACACAGUCAGGAAAUGCCACUACCACUGAGAGAGACUACAUUAUCCAGUAAACCACCAAAACUCAGGCAGAUCUUCAAGAGAAAAUGCUGAGCGGAUGGACAGAUGACACUGAACCUGAGGCUGAAGAGGGAGGAAUCUGGGGAUCCUGCACGUGGUACCUGAAAUCCGGGUCUAGUUCCUGGCCACCAGUGGCUCCUGGGUAAGGGUUGAAUAAGGGAACUGAGGGCCAGCUUACUCUCACCAUGGACCUCUGGGAUCCUAGCUAUAGGGGACCAUGCUCAUGGACCUGUGAGCUGGCAGGGGUAUCUCCUUGGGGAGCAGGAAGAGACAGGCCUUCAGCCAGCAGAGAGCCCAGGAGAUUUUGUGUCCUAUGCAGCUCCAGCAGAGAGCUGCCAUCCCCAAGUGGCCCCUAUGCCCUUCUGGGAGGCACAGGCCACAUCUGACCUAGAAGCCAGGAGAGAGUCGGGACUGCAUCCCCACAAGACUGGGGCAUGUCUGCUCUGCAGGCCAUCCUGCCAGCUGGCCUCUCCUAGGGUCUAUGCUUAGCAGUCUGCAGGAGCAGGUGCACAGUGCAGCCCCUGAAGCUCAUCCUGAGGGCUGCAUCUGAGUACCUUAUCAGUGACCCAGGAACACAUUGGAUUCUUCAGCAUAACCAGAAUCACAACAGGAGCCUCAGGAUGUGUCCAUGCCCCAAGGCUGGAGUGUGCAGCUCUGGAGUACUGAGAUGAGAUCCGUGGCUGACACUGAAGCCAGGGAGGAGCCUCCAUCCCCAUAGUACUGAGAGAGGCAAGAUGCAUGAGUUACUGGCUUGGGGUGGGAGCUGGGUGUACCUCCCUCCGUAGGGCCAAUUUAGAGUGUGGUAUUCUUUCCAACCACAGCUUCUGCCCAAGGGAGCCCCAUGGCUGGGAACACCUAACAAAAGAAACACAGGUACAGAGCCAGCAAUUGGAGGGAUUUACCCUAAGGCCCAGUAGUGAACCUGGCAAGUGGACCAUCUCUCUGCCUCACCAACCACAGAGCAUACCUGUGAACCCAAGGAAGUGCAAAAGAGUAAUGGGCUGGAUAUUAACCUAGUUACAGGCCAUUAUUCUUAUGUACCAUCUACUGGAUCACAACCCUAACUAUAACAUCAAAACUUUGUCCCGCUAAUGUAUACACCUGUGAGAUAAAGUGCAAGAUUUCACUGAAACAUAAAGAUCCUGUACAGAGCCCUGGUCCUCUGAAAGCAAUCGGAAAUGAAGCCAAUGGACUAUGCUCAACUUAAACCACAGUUAAAGGAACACCAACUAUCCCAGAUGAGAAAUAAUCAGUGCAAGUAUUCUGGCAAUCCAAAAAGCCAGUUGUCCUCUUACCUCCAAAUGAGUACAUUAGCUCCCCAGCAAUGGUUCUUAAACAGUUGGAAAUAAUUAAAAUAAUAGGCAUAGAAUUCAGAAUCUGGGUGGCAAAGGAACUCAUCAAGAUUCAGGAGAAAGCUGAAACUCAAUCCAAGAAAUUUAGUAAAACAGUUCAAGAGCUGAAAGGCAAAAUAGCCAUCCUAAGAAAGAACCAAACUGAAUUUCUAGAGCUGAAAAACUCACUAAAAGAAUUUUAUAUACAAUGGAAAGUAUUAACAGCAGAAUAGACCAAGCUGAGGAAAGAAUCUCAGCACUCAAAGACUGGUUCUUUGAAUCAACUCAGUCAGACAAAAAUUAAAAGAAAAAAAAGAAUUUUAAUAAAUGAAAAAAAAUUCAAGAAAUACAGGACUAUAAAAAGAGAGGACAUAUACAUCCCAUUGGUAUCCAUGAAAGAGAAGGAGAGAGAAUAAGCAACUUGAAAAAUGUUUUUGAGGAUACUAUUCAUAAAAAUUUAUCUAAUCUCACUAAAGAGCUUGACAUGCAAAUCCAAGAAAUAAAGAAAACCCUCACUUCAUGCUGUACAAGAUGACCAUCCCCAGGGCACAUAGUCAUCAGAUUCUCCAAGGUCAGUGCAAAAGGAAAAAUCUUACAGUUAGCUAGACAGAGGGGUCAUGUGACAUACAGAGGGAACUUCAUCAGGCUAGCAACAGACCUCUCAGCAGAAACAUUACAAGCCAGAGAGACCAGGGUUCCAUUUCCAACAUCCUCAAAUAAAAUAAAUUCCAACCAAGAAUUCAUAUUCCUCCAAACUAAGCUUCAUAAGUGAGGGAGAAAUGAGGUCUUUCUCAGACAAGCAAAUGCUGAGGGAAUAUAUAUCAAUUAGACCAGCCUUAUAGGAAGUCCUUGGAGAAUGCUAAAGAUGGGAUCAAAAGAAUGAUAUCUGCUAUCACAAAAACAUACUUAAGCCCACAGCCCAGAGGCACUAUAAAGAAACUACACAGUCAAGUCUACAUAAAACUAGCUAACAACACAAUGACAGGAUUAAAAUCACACAUAUUAAUGCUAACAUUGAAUAUAAAUGGGCUAAAUGCCCUCACUUAAAAGACAAAGAGUGGCAGUCUGUAUAAAAAGACAAAAUUCAACCAUCUUUUGUCUUCAACACACCCAUCUCACAUGUAAUGACACACAUGGGCCCAAAUUUAAAUGAUGUAGAAAGAUCUACCGUACAAACAGAAAACAAAAAAGAGCAGUAGCCAUUAUUCUUAUAUCAGAUAAAAUCGACUUUAAACCAAUAAGAAUUAAGGAAGACAAUGAAAGAUAUUACAUAUUGAUAAGGGUACAAUCCAACAAGAAGCCUUAACUAUGCUAAAUAUAUAUGCACCCAACAUAGGAGCACCCAGAUUUACAAAACGAGUUCCUCUUGGCCCAUGAAAAGAUUUAGGCAACCACACAAUAAUAGUGGGAGACUUUAACAUCCCAUUCACAGCUUUAGACAGGUCAUCAAGACAGAAAACUGACAAAGAAACUCUGGACUAAGUCCAACAAUUGACAAGCUGGAACUAAUAGACAUCUACAGAACACUCCAUUCAACAACCAUAGAAUAUCCAUUCUUCUAAGUGCACAUGGAACAUAUUCUAAGAUUGACUACAUGUACAGUUUUAAAGCAAGCCUCAAUAAAUUCAAAAAAGUUGAAAUCAUACCAAGCACACUAUCAGACUAUGGUUGAAUAAAAAGAUUAAUGAAACCCAGAGUUGCUUUUCUGAAAAAAAUAAAAAUAAACAAGAUUUAGACCACUAGCCAGCUUAACAAAGAAAAAAAAGAGAAGAUCUAAAUAAGCACAAUCAGAAAUGACAAAGAUGACAUUACAGUUGAUCCCACAGAAAUGCAAAAGAUCUUCAGAGAAUACUGUGAACAACGCUGUGCACACAUAUUAGAAAAUCUAGAAGAAAUAAAUCGCUGGAAGCACACAAUCUCCCAAGAUUGAAUCAGAAAGGAUUAAAACCUUGAAUAGACCAAUAUCAAGCUCUGAAAUUGAAUAAGUAAUAGAAAACAUGCCAACCAGAAAAAGCCCUGGACCAAAUGAAUCCAUAGCCAAAUUCUACCAGAUGUACAAAGAACCGGUACCAAUUCUACAGAAACUAGUUCAAAAAAUCAAGGAGGAGGGACUCCUUCCUAAAUCAUUCCAUGAAGCCAGCAUCAGCUAGUACCAAAACCUGGCAGAUACACGACAAAGAAAGAAAACUUCAGAUCAAUAUCCCUAAUGAACAUAGACACAGAGUCCUCAACAAAAUACUAGCAAACUGAAUCUAGCAGCACAUCAAAAAGUUAAUUCGCCAUAAUCAAGUAAGCCUUAUUCCUCGGAUGCAAUGUUGGUUCAACAUAUGCAUAUCAAUAAGUGUGACUCACCACAUAAACAGAAUUAAAAGCAAAAACCAUAUGAUCAUCUCAAUAGACACAGAAAAGGCUUUUGAAAAAAUUCCACAUCCCUUCAGGAUUAAAACCCUCAAUAGACUAGCUGUCAAAAGAACAUACCUCAAUAUAAUAAGACCAUCUAUGACCAACCCACAGCAAACAUCAUAUUGAACAGGGAAAAGCUGGAACCAUUCCCUUGGGGAACUAGAACAAGGCAAGGACACCCACUCUCACCACUCUUAUUCAACAUAGUACUGGUAUUCCUAGCCAGAGCAAUCAGGCAAGAGAAAGAAAUAACAGGCAUCUAAAUGGGUAAGGAAGUCAAACUAUCUCUUUACUGACUAUAUAAUUUUAUACUUAAAAAACCCUAAAGACUCCAUCAAAAUGCUACUGGAACUGAUAAACGAUUAUAGCAAGGUUUCAGAUUACACAUCAAUGUACAAAAAUUAGUAGUAUUUUUAUACACCAAUAACAUCCAGUCUGAGAGUCAAAUAAAGAACACAGUCUCAUUUACAACACCCAUACAUAAAAAUUAAAUACCUAGGAAUACAUCUAACCAAGGAGAUGAAAGAUCUGUACAAGGAGAACUACAAAACACUGCUCAAAGGAAUCAGAGAUGACACAAAUAAAUUUCUUUAAAAAAAUCCCAUGCUUAUGGAUUGGAAGACUCCACAUCAUUAAAAUGGUCAUAAUACGCAAAGCAAUUUACAGGUUCAUGCCAUUUCUAUCAAAAUACCAAUGUCAUUCUUCACAGAAUUAGAAAAUCUAUGCUAAAAUGUAUAUUAAACCAAAGAAGAGCCCAAAUAGCCAAAGCAAUCCUUAAGCAAAAAGAAGAAAGUCAGAGGCAUCACAUUACCUGACUUCAAACUAUAUUAUAUGGCUAAAGUAACCAAAACAGCAUGGUACUGGUGCAAAAACAGACACACAGACCAAUAGAAUGCAGUAGAAAAUUUAGAAAUAAAGCCACACACCUACGACCAUCAAGUCUUCAACAAAGCUCACAAAAACAAGCUAUGGGGGAAGUCCUCUCUAUUUAAUAAAUGGUGCUGGGAUAACUGGCUAGUCAUAUGUAGAAGAAUGAAACUGGACCCUUUUUUGUUAUAUACAAAAAUUAAUUCAGGGUGGAUUAAAGAUUUAGAUGCAAGGCCUCAAACUAUAAAAAUCCUAGAAGAAAAUUUAGGAAAUAUACUUCUCAACAUCAGACUUAGCAGAUAAAUUUUGGCUAAGUCCCCAAAAGCAAUUUUAACAAAAACAAAAAUUGAUAGCUAUGACCUAAUUAAACUAAAGAAAGUAUUGUACAAAAGAAACCAUCAACAGAGUAAACAGACCUACAAAAUGGGAGGAAAUAUUCACAAACUAUGCAUCUGACAAAGGUCUAAUAUCGAGAAUCCAUAAGGAACUUAAAGAACAAAUAACCCCAUUAAAAAUGGGGAGAGGACAUAAACAGACAUUUCUCAAAAGAAGACAUACAAGUAGCCAAACAAACAUUUUUAAAAAAUGCUCGUCAUGACUAAUCAUCAGAGAAAUGCAAGUCAAAACUACAGUGAGGUAGCACCUCAUACCAGUCAGAAUGGCUAUUAUUAAAAAGCCAAAAAACAACAGAUGCUGGCAAGCUGAAGAGAAAAAGGAACACUCAUAUACUGUUGGUGGAAAUGUAAAUUAGUUCAGCCACCAUGGAAAGCGGUUUGAAGAUUUCUCAAGGAACUUAAAACAGAGCAACCAUUUGACCUAGCAACCGCCUUGUUGGGUAUAUACCCAAAGUAAUACAGAUCAUUAUAUCAAAAAUACACAUGCACUUCUAUGUUUAUCACCAUGCUAUUCACAAUAGCAAAGACAUGGAAUUAAUCUAGGUGCCCAUCAUAGGAGGAUUGGAUAAAGAAAACAUGGUAUACAUCCACCAUGGAAUACUAUGCAACCAUAAAAAAAAAUGAAAUCAUGUCACUUGCAGCAACAUGGAUGGAGCUGGAGGCCAUAAUCCUAAGUGAAUUAAUGUGGAAAGAGAAAAUCAAAUAUUGUGUGGGAGGUAAACAUUGAGCACACAUGGGCAUAAAUAUGGGAACAAAAGAUACUAUGGUCUACUAGAGGGGUGAAGGAGGAAGGGGGAAAUGGGUUGAAAUACUACCUAUUGGAUACUAUGCUUACUACUUGGGUCCAACACACCUGUGUAACAACCCUACACAUGUACUUGGUAUAUCUAAAAUAAAAACUAAAAAUUUAAAAAGUAUAUUAACUAACUCGAUCCUCAUAAUAAUCCACAAAAUGGAUGGGUGGCUAUCGCUCACCCAUCUCAUUUCACAGAUGGGGCACAGAAAUACUGAUUAAUUUUCUGAAGGUCACACAACCCAUAAGAGGCAAAAUUAUAAUUUAACCCCAGGAAGUCUAGCUUGAGUCCAUGUGCUAACCUCUACACUAAAUGCCAACACGGAGGUGGUGGUUUUGUUAUUCUGUUUUGGAUUGCUAUAAUAGAACACCACAAACUGGGUAAUUUAUAUUUUUAAAAGAAAUUUAUUUCUUACAUUUCUGGAUGCUGGAAAGUCUGUGAUCGAGGAGCCCACAUUGGGCAAGGGUCUUCACGCUGCAUCAUCCCACAGCCAAAUGCGUGAGGGCAAAAGAGUGAGAGAGAGCAAGAGAGGGUCUAACUCACUUUUAUAAGAAGCCCACUCUUGCAAUAACUUACUCCACCAAUAAUGACACUAAUCUAUUCAUAAGGGCAAACAUGACCUAAUCACUUUUUAUUAGGCCCUACCUCCCAAAACACUGUUGCAUUAGGGAUUUCAUUUCCAACCCAUGAAUUUUGGGGUACACAUUAAAACCAUGGCAGUGGUUUAAGCCAAGCACCAGAUAACCUUCAAACAAGUCUCAACACAUUUUGGCAAAAUAAUACAACAAAUAUCAAUGAAAACUUUAACUAAGGAGCAAUAACAAAAGACUACAUGGACAUUACAAUUUAUGAAAUGAGACUUAAAGAUGAAUUUAAUUUUACUAGGCAAGAAUCGUUUAAAGAUACAGGGACCUAGGAAGAAUAAACCUCAUGAUCAAUGGCAUAACAUUGAGAACUUCGGAAUGUCAGGUAAAAUUCAGCGUCCACCUUGUUCUGCAUGUUAAGGGAAUAGUAGGAGAUACACCUAUCCUGGCAAUCACACACACAGCAAUGACUGUGGGAUCAAAAAAUCCAAGUCUCAAUGCUGCUACUUAUGCACCAGAUGAACUUUGUCAAGGUCUUUAAUCUCUCUGGGUCUCAGAUGGGAAUGAAAAGUCCACCUAAUAUUUUAUUUGAAAGAUUAAGUGAGAGUGUAAGUGUUCAAAUUACUAUUAACUAAAGCUAGGCCUGAGUGAAAAAUAGGCUAGGACAUUAUUAUGGAGAGAUGUGAAUUUCAGGCUGAGGAGAUGCCAUUGAAGACCUCUGAGAAGGUAAAUAAAAGAGUAGCAUGGUUAGAAUUGUCUAAAGUUCAAUCCAGUGCUCAGUAUAGAAGGAGGUAUAGGAUAUACAGGAGUGUGAUAGGGCAGGGAUCAGGAGAAGACUGGGAAAUAUUAAAACUGGUUGAAAUAUAGUGAAGACCCAUAUUCUAGUUCUGGCAUUUGGACCUGAAAUAAAGACAGACAUUUCAGAAACACUACAGAAGCAGAUAAAAAUAAUUUCACAAUUAUUUUGGAUUUAAAAUGGAGGGAAAAAAAAACCAUCAGUGAUUCUGAGACCUCAAGCCUGAGUGACUUGGAGAAUAAUCAUGCCACCAUCAACAAAACAAAAUUUUGAGGAAGAAAAGCCCUUUUUGGGGAAAGGAUAAAUUGUAUUAUGAUUUUGAUCUGUAUAUAUUGAUUUUAAGGAAUCGAUAAGACACCCUGGUUGAAUUGUCCUGCAAUCAGUUAGUUAUAUGCAUUGGGAGCACAGGAAAGAGGAAGUGGCAAGAUAGAGGGUGUGGUAAAGAGAAUAAUGAACUUUUAGUGAUAUCACAUCCUAAUAUCAGACCAACAAAUAGAUUACAGAGCAAAACGGAAUUAAAGUUGGAGAUAUAAUUAAGGUGAAUAAUCAGUUGACCUUAAAAUAGGGAUAUUAUCCUGGAUAAUCUAGCUGGGCUCAGUAUCAUAAAAAAAAUUCUUAAUAAAAAAGGAGAAAGAUGAAGAGGAAUUUGCAGUGAAGUGAUGUGAAAAGGAUUUAACAAGCCCAUUCAGGCUUUGAGGAUGAGAAAAGGGGUCAAAAGACAAGGAACGUGGCUUUUCUAGAACUCAGAAAUGGUAAAGAAAGAGAUUACUUAUUAGACCCUCUCAGAAGGAAAUGCAAAUGCCAACAGCUUGAUUUUUAGCCCAGUGAAACUCAGGCAGACCUCUAAACUACAAAACUUUAAGAUAAUAAAUGUGUGUUGUUUAAGCCCCUAAAUCUGUGCUAAUGUGUUACAGCAGCAAACAUGAACUAAUAUAUAGUGAUUUUUGGAAUAUUCAGGAUGAAGAUAAUAAUCAGGAACAUUGUGAUUCCAAACACUUCCUGAAAGUGGCCUGUGAAACAAAACUGCAGCUUUUUGAGAAAGCAGGAGUUGUAAGUUGUAAGUCCUUAGAAUAAGUGUAGAGAUAUCUUGUUCCUGUACCAAGUUAUUCAGAACCUUGGGAGUAUACCAAUCAGUUCAUUUGCUGUGUAGAAUCUUAAUCUUGCAAAAAGGAAGUCAGCACGAAUUAUCUGAAUUUAUUCCAGGGUUCAUUUUUAUCUCCACUAUCAUCAUGCAUGAUUCAUUUCAGCACUGCAAGAUAAAGAAUUUCUGGUCAGGGAUAUUGACUCAUGCCUGUAAUCCCAGCACUUUGGGAGUCCAAGGUGGGCAGAUUGCUUGUGUCGAAGGAUUUAACACCAGCCUGGGUAAUAUGGUGAAACUUUGUCUCUACAAAAAAUAUAAAAAAUUAGCUAGGUGUGGUGGUGUGCACCUGUAGUCCCAGCUAUUCAGAAGGCUGAGGUGAGGGGAGACAGUAAGCAGAGAUCCAGCCUGGGUGACAGAGCAAGAUCCUGUCUCAAAAAAAGAAGAAGAAGAAGGAGAAGGGGAAGAGGAAGGGGAAGAAGAGAGAGGGGGAGGUGGAGGGGGAGGGGGAUUGUUGUUGUUAAAGUUUCUUGUCUUGAGGAGAGGAAUAAAUUGAUCAAACUUAGACAACUUAAGCCACCACUGAAAGAAUGGAAAUAGAAAAUUUAGAAAAUUUCAAGCUUCUCCUUUCCAGAAACUUGCAUUCUAUUUUCUGGAAAGAUCCAGCUAAUAUCUCACAGCAUUCAACAUGGGCUGCAUAACUUAUUUUGUGUCCUAGAGUGUCAGUCUUUGUUGCAGAGGAGAUGUGGAAUUGUUUGUGUUGAUUUAAAAAUAAAAACUAUAGCCGGCCAGUCACGGUGGCUCACGUCUAUAAUCCCAGCACUUUGGAAGGCCGAGGCGGGUGGAUCACAAGGUCAGGAGAUAGAGACCAUCAUGGCCAACAAGGUGAAACCCCGUCUCUACUAAAAACACAAAAAUUAGCUGGGUGUGGUGGUGCGCGCCUGUAAUCCCAGCUACUCAGGAGGCUGAGGCAGGAGAAUCACUUCAACCAGGGAGUUGGAGGUUGUGGUGAGUUGAGAUUGCACCACUGCACUCCAGCCUGGCAACAAAGCGAGACUCUGUCUCAAAAAAAAAAAAAAAAAAACACUAAAGCCAAAUUAAAAUUAAAUUUUAAAUAGUUUAAUUGAGCAAAGAACAAUUGAUGAAUCAUUCCUCUUUUUUACAGCCCAGAUAUUUUAUUUCCUACAGCACCAGCACAUAAAGCUGUGUCAGGAUAUCAGAUUUCUUUAAGAGGUAGUAAGAAAAAAUAUAUUUCAAAAUACUUAACUACACCCUUCCCAAGGUUAUAAGAAAAAGCACAAUACCAUUAAUUAACUUAUGAAAGUCACUUUAUUAGCAAAUCCCAGUUUUUAGCCUUAUUUUCCUUCAUUCUAGAAAAACAGCACAUUUCUCCUUUUCAAACCAACACAGAAGAAAUUUCUAUCCCAAUUUAGUUACUCUCCCACUCAUGCCAUCUCCAAUCUCCAGCUCCACUCGAGAGCAUGGGUGGAACCAAAUUUAGCCAAUACUUAUGCCAGGAAAUGUGGUAAGAGAGAGAGGGAAAUCCAAAGCUUCAGCAUAAUAGUCAAGAGUAGACUUUAGCAAACCAAGUUCUGCCACCUUUGAAGUGAAGAAUGAGGAUUCUUUUUGCUUCUACAAUGGGUAAAUACUGGACUAAACAUAAAACAAAUAAAAAUAGCUUUCACAUGACAAGUAUUAAUUCUUGGUGACUAUGCAAAUAGUUCCAGAAAAAAUAAUAUUUGGCAUAUAUGCCAUUGAUAUACUUACUCUUUUCCACAGUAGGAAUCAUAGUUUAUUUAUAUUAUGAGAGAUCUUCAAAAGUUAAUGGAAAAUGUAAUUAUGAAAAAAACCAUGCAUCGAUUUUAAGAAUUUUGCACCAAAAUAAACUCAUACUAACUUGUUGUGACAUGUCUGAAUGGGGUCUAAUUUGAGGCACUAAAAAGGAUAAGACAUUAGUUUGAAAAGAGCCCUUAUCAGAGCAACAUGAAUUUUACCAAAAUUGAAGCAAAAACAACAAAUUUAUGGUGAAGCUUGGGUGGAAGAAUGAUGAAGUCAUUGAUGCUUUACAAAAAGUUUAUGGGGACAUUGCCCAAAGAAAUCAGCAGUUUACAAAUGGAUAACUUGUUUUUUAAAGGAACAAGACAAUGCUGAAAAUAAAACCCUCAGUGGCAUACCAUCUAUAUCAAUUUUCAAGGAAAAAAUUAAUCUUAUUCAUGUCCUAAUUGAAAAGGACCAACAGUUAACAGCAGAAACAUUAGCCAACACCAUAAACAUCUCAACUGAUUCAGCUUACACAAUUCUGACUGAAACAUUUGAGCACACUUUCUACUCAAUGGGUGCCAAAACCCUUGCACCCAGAUCAGCUGUAGAUAAAAACAGAGAUUUCAAUGGAAAUUUAAACAAGUGGGAUCAAGAUCCCAAAGCAUUUCUUUGUAGUUGUAAAAGGAGAUGAAACAUGGCUUUACAAGUAUGAUCUUGAAGAUAAAUCACAAUCAAAGCAAUGGCUACCAAGAGGUGGAAGUGGUAAAAUCAAAGCAAAAGCAGACUCAUCAAGCGUAAAGGUCAUAGCACAGUUUUUUGGAAUGCUCAAAGCAUUUUCUUCAUUGACAUCCUGGAGAAUAAAAGAAUCAUAACAUCUGCUUAUUAUGAGAGUGUUUUGAGAGAGUUAGCCAAAACUUUAGCAGAAAAACACCUGGGAAAGCUUCAUUAGAAAGUCCUUCCCACCAUGACAAUGUUUCUGCUCAUUCUGCCUGUCAAACAAGGGCAAUUUUGCAAGUGUUUUAUGGGGCAUUAUUAGGCAUCCACCUAUAGUCCUGAUUUGGUUCGUUCUGACUUCUUUUUGUUUCCUAAUCUCAAAAAAAUUUUUAAAAGACAGACACUUUUCUUCAGUUAAUAAUGUAAAAAAGACUGUGUUGACAUGGUUAAAUUAUCAGGACCCCUAGUUCUUUAUGGAUGAACAAAAUGGCUGGUAUUACCACUUUUAAAAGUGUCUUAAAUUUGAUGGAGCUUAUAUUGAGAAAUAAAAAAUAAAAUUUAUAUUUAUUAUUUUUAUUUUUUAAUUCCAUUUUCCAUGAACUUUUCUUUUUUUUCUUUUCUUUUUUUUUUUCCUGAGGCUAAGUUUCACUCUCUCACCCAGGCUGGAGUACAGUGGCACGAUCUCAGCUCACUGCAACCACUGCCUCCUAGAUUCAAGCAAUUCUCUUGCCUUAGCCUCCUGACUAGCUGGGAUUAUAGAUGCCUGCCACCACACCCGGCUAAUUUUUUGUAUUUUUAGUAGAGAUGGGGUUUCAUCACAUUGGCCAGGUUGGUCUCGAACUCCUGACCUCAACUGAUCCACUUGCCUUGGCCUCCCAAAGGGCUAGGAUUAUAGGCAUGAGCCACUGCACCCAGCCUUCAUGAACUUUUUGAAGUUACCUUGUAAUAUUUGAAAAUCUUCCAGGGCCCUUCCAAUGCCAAAAACACACACCUUUUUCCCCUGACCCUCUGUCAGUCUUCUGAAUUUAAAGCUGGGCUCUGGGACUUACCAGUGUGAGAAUGUAUGUCCACUAAUGUUUAGAUAGAUAUUGGACAAAAAUUUUCAAAUUUACAUUUUUCACUUCUUGGGCGAUGUAAAUUCAUUGUCAACAACUGCAUUCUCACCUGACUUUAGAAGAGGGUAUAUCUCUCAAACCCUGUGGGUGAAGUAUUCAUUCAGAUGGAAACAGUAUGCUGACAAACUUCUCCUGAUGAGUUGUUUGUUUAUUUUCUGAAAUGAUGACAUUAAUUGGCCAAGAAGGAGAGCACAGUGUGCAGGAAACACACAGAGGGAGUUGAAAGGCUGCUUCCAACUGCUCACUGUCCUUAUUGGAAAUCCUCAUGAGCCUCAAUGAAGGGUAUAUCUACUUCAGAUUGCCCCUUUUUUCUCCUCUUUGGGCUAUGUGAUCUAUGAUUGCAAUUAGCUUGGACAUCAACAUUGUAAAUAUGUGACAGCUAAUGGUUGCGUGGUAUAAACACUUAUAAGAUAUGCUAAAACUGACAGCUUUAAUGUAAUCAACUCCAUGCAGCAGCCACCUUGUAGGGCUGUAGUUUUGAGUAUAGAACAUCUGGAGUUACACUUUAAUUGGUGGUUGUAAUUGUUGCACAGCUGUUUGUAACAGUUCUAGCUAUGUUAAUCACGACUGCAAUGAUGCUUAUCGGGAAGCAGCACUAGAGUCCAAUUCAUGAGUAUCAACAGUUGUUGAUUCAGAAAGUCACAUUGUGUAUUUCCUUACUUAGCAUCAUAUAAAAAGCACACAGAAAAGAAUAAAUGAAAUAAAAAGUUCCAAUUCAUCCAUCUGUAAGUGUGUUUGAGUUCAGAAACAUUAACAGAUUGUUUCCUGAAAUGUACAACCAACCCACUCAAAAUGAGGGCCCAUCAUUGUGUUGCCGGAGACUCUCUGUAGAAAUAUGGGAUAAAGUGUUGUUAACCUUCCAUUAAAAAAAUAGUAUCUACCAGAAUAUCCCUGAAGAACUGAAUGUGAUAUAUGACACAGAAAAUAAGCCACAAGUUUCAUGAAAAAGAUGAGAACCUCCAUGCUCUAAACUGGAAAGGGAGUAUUUGUUUUUUUCUUCACAUGCAUAAUGGAUUAUCAGUGUGAUAAAAGUGUUCAAAAAGUUCCACACCUAGCAUCAAGUCAGAAUUUCUACUCUGCUGCUACAAAUGUGGACAUCUUGAGCAAGUCAUUUUGUGUUCCUAAGUUUCAGUUUUCUCAUCAGUAGAAUGAAAGAAUAGGAUUCGAUUGUUUGUGAAAUCUCUUCCAUCUCUCAUAUCUUUUGUACAAACUUGACUGUUAAUUUUAAUUUUAUUUUUUUUACCAGGUCACCCAAGAGCUCUGAUCUGACUUUUUAAAAGCUACUUACUCUCCUGAAGUUUCUAGUUACCAAAUAGAAAGACACAAAAUUCAGAAAGCUAGGGCUCAACAAUAGGAGAAUAAUGAAGAGAACUUUCAGGAUAAUGGCUGUAAAACAGGUCCCAGAAAACACCUAGUUCAGGUGAGAGCCAGUAACAGGAGUUCACUAAGAAGGAGUCUCCCAGCAAACUAUCAACGAAUGCUUUGAAUAGAAGGAAAUUACUGAUAGGUACUGGAUAAAGCCAUUGAAACAUCUGGAUAGAAGAAAUGGUAAUUGAUGCCCUCAAAGAAAGCAAAUGGGGAAAAAAAUAGCAUAUGAAAUUUUAACCAAGAAAGGAAAUGGGUUUGUGGCAUGCUUUUUAGAUCAACAAUGAAAGUAAUAAGAUGGCCACUGAUUUUUGAUGGAACAAAAAAGCUGAAGGGUAACUGUUUUGAAAACAGAGGAAAGAGAAAUUUAGUGUGGAGGUAGGUAAAGGAGCUGAAUGUUUAUCCACUGUCUUCCAACUAGACUGUAAUUUCUGGACAAUGUCAAAGUGAUAAUGUCUAAAAUGGAUAAAUCAAGACAUUAAAGAGCAAGUACAUUAUUUAGAAGAUAAUAGCAGAAAAUACAAGAAGAAACAACAAAAGUAAACUAAUGAAAUAAAAAUAAAUUGGUUUAGGGGAGUACGGUUGUGGGGUGGGGUAGAUAAAUUUUUAUAAUUGAUUUGUCAUAAUUUUUUAUCUGUUAUAAGCCUUUUAAAAUGAUGUGUCUUUUUGACAUAUAUAUAUUAUUGACAUGUAUAUUUGACACAUUUAUAUGGUUUACCCUGAAAAGCAAUAUUUAGUCUGAAAGUAAAUAAAAACUUCACUCCUGCUUUUAGUGAUAAAUACAAGUCAGAGGCAUUAAGAGACUGAGCAUUAGUUAUGGAAUUUCACGUUUCUGGGAACAAAUAUUUGGAAACCUCAGGGUCCUCAGGGCUCUCUUAUUACACCUUCCCAUGAACAAGUCACAUUCCUCACCAUGAUUUUGUAUCCCUUCUGUUCUCAUUGUCAAAAAAAUCUUUCUUCCUCUCCUUGUGUGCCUACUAAAUUCUUUUUACAUUUAAAAAAACAUAAAAAAUAUUUAUAAAGCUUUUUGGAUUUAACCUUUCCUAUUUAGCACUUUUAAUAAUGUUGAUGUGGCAAUUUGAAAUUUGCAAAACCCUUUUCACUUCAUUUAUUCAUUUAUUACUUCAUUUAUUUUUCAUUUGGGCCAUUUAUUUGUUAGUGCAAUACAUUUCCUGAGUUUCUACUCUGGGUCAAUUACCUAGACAAGAACUGGUGUUAAAAGGCCAACAAAGGAGUUUUACUGGCCUCAUAGCAUUUCACAUUUUCAGGAGGAGGCAAUCAAACACAGAAAGUAUGCAGAUUAAGGAUAUUUGUGCUGUUUGUGGUUGUUUCUGUUUGUUUAUUUCAGUCUUAUGAUUGAGAUAAAAAAUGUGAUGCAUGGUUUCUGGCUUGUAUAUUAGAAUCUCACUGUUUCUGUAAUGAAUAUGUUUCAGCUCAAAAUAUAUAAUGAGACAAAAAUUCAUCCAUAACUUUAUGAUUGAUUAAUCUAAUUUCCUUAAGAAAAUGUAGCUCGAUUUAAUCUUCUUCUUUUCUCUUCUCGUCCUCCCUCCCCCUCUCAAG